CCUGUACCACCUGCGUAAGUGAUGGAGUGACGAAGAAGGAUAACACUACCUAUUAUUGGAUUUAGGGAUAAGUGAUUACUGGUGAAUCUAGUUAAAUGCGGAUUCUAUAACUGGGAGUCAUAAUGUAUAGCUACUUGUAGUGAAUUGUGUGAUUUCAUACUUCCAAGAAAAGCUUCUAAGCGUUAUAAAACAAAAGGUGCCUGUACCGAGAACGGACACACGUUCCCAAGAUGAGUAUUCUAAGGCGAGCGAGAAAACCAAUGUUAAGGAACUCUGCAAAUUAACCCCGUAAGUUCGCGAGAAGGGGUGCCAACAUUUGUUGGCCACAGUAAAUUGUGAGGGGCAACUGUUUAUCAAAAACACAGCUCUCUGCUAAAUCGUAAGAUGAAGUAUAGGGGGUGAAGCCUGCCCAGUGCCCGAAGGUUAAGCGGAUUUGUUAG
rnacentral:rRNA from 2 species